UACGUAGGUGACAAGCGUUGUCCGGAUUUACUGGGCGUAAAGAGCGCGCAGGCGGUCGAUCAAGUCGAGUGUGAAAGCCCCCGGCUCAACUGGGGAGGGUCAUUCGGAUACUGAUCGACUCGAAGGCAGGAGAGGGUAGUGGAAUUCCCGGUGUAGCAGUGAAAUGCGUAGAGAUCGGGAGGAACAUCCGUGGCGAAGGCGACUACCUGGACCAGCACUGACACUGAGGCACGAAAGCGUGGGGAGCAAACAGGG
rnacentral:rRNA from 1 species